rnacentral:rRNA from 1 species
AGAGUUUGAUUCUGGCUCAGAACGAACGCUGGCAGCGUGGAUUAGGCAUGCAAGUCGAACGGGAAGCCGUUGAUCAAUUCUUCGGAAGAGUGAUUCGGUGGAGAGUGGCGGAAGGGUGAGUAACGCGUGGGCAAUCUACCUCCAAGUUGGGGAUAAUUCCGCGAAAGCGGGACUAAUACCGAAUGUGGUCGUAUGUCGCAUGGCAGACUGACUAAAGGUGGGGAUCCUUCGGGACCUGCCGCUGGGAGAGGAGCCCGCGUGCCAUCAGCUUGUUGGUGAGGUAACGGCCCACCAAGGGCUUACGGCUAGCUGGCCUGAGAGGAUGAUCAGCCACACUGGGACUGAGACACUGCCCAGACUCCUACGGGAGGCUGCAGUCGAGGAUCAUUGUCAAUGCGCGGAAGCGUGAACAUGCGACGCUGCGUGGAGGAUGACGGCUUUCGGGUUGUAAACUCCUGUCAUGAGGGAAAAACGAUCCUGCAAUCAAUAUCUGCGGGAAGUGAUGGUACCUCAAGAGGAAGCCACGGCUAACUCUGUGCCAGCAGCCGCGGUAAUACAGAGGUGGCGAGCGUUGUUCGGAUUUACUGGGCGUAAAGGGUGCGUAGGCGGCUUCGUGUGUCGGAUGUGAAAUCCCACGGCCCAACCGUGGAACUGUGUUCGAAACUGCGGAGAUAGAGUGCAGGAGAGGAGAGCGGAAUUCUUGGUGUAGCGGUGAAAUGCGUUGAUAUCAAGAAGAACACCGGUGGCGAAAGCGGCUCUCUGGAAUGUUACUGACGCUGAGGCACGAAAGCUGGGGGAGCGAACAGGAUUAGAUACCCUGGUAGUCCCAGCUGUAAACGGUGUGCACUUGGUGUGGGAGGUAUUGACCCCUUCCGUGCCGGAGCUAACGCGUUAAGUGCACCGCCUGGGGAGUACGGCCGCAAGGCUAAAACUCAAAGAAAUUGACGGGGGCCCGCAUAAGCGGAGGAGCAUGUGGCUUAAUUCGAUGCAACGCGAAGAACCUUACCAGGGCUUGACAUCUACCUGCAUGCCCCCUGAAAGGGGGGAGGCCUUCGAGGGUGGUAGACAGGUGCUGCAUGGCUGUCGUCAGUUCGUGCCGUGAGGUGUUGGGUUAAGUCCCGCAACGAACGCAACCCUUGUGGUUAGUUGCAACUGCAGGUGAUAAGCCUGCGGGCACUCUAGCCAGACUGCCUGUACAAGCAGGAGGAAGGUGGGGAUGACGUCAAGUCAGUAUGGCCCUUACGCCCUGGGCCGCACACGUGCUACAAUGGUCGGUACAGAAGGAUGCAAUACCGCGAGGUGGAGCUAAUCCCCAAAACCGGCCCCAGUUCGGAUUGGAGUCUGAAACUCGACUCCAUGAAGCCGGAUUCGCUAGUAACGGCGUAUCAGCUACGGCGCCGUGAAUACGUUCCCGGGCCUUGUACACACCGCCCGUCACAUCAUGAAAGCCGUCUGCACCCGAAGUCGCUGAGCCAAUCCCGCCCUCGGGCGGGAAGGCAGGCGCCGAAGGUGUGGGUGGUGAUUGGGAUGAAGUCGUAACAAGGUA